rnacentral:tRNA from 1 species
GCCCUGGUAGCUCAGCUGGAUAGAGCAGAGGACUUCUAAGCCUAAGGCCGGUGGUUCGAAUCCACCCCGGGGCACCA